ACUCAAUAGAUACCCUGGUAGUCCUGGCAGUAAACGGUGCGCGUUUGGUGUGGGAGGAAUCGACCCCUUCCGUGCCGGAGCUAAACGCGUUAAACGCGCCGCCUGGGGAGUACGGUCGCAAGAUUAAAACUCAAAGAAAUUGACGGGGGCCCGGCACAAGCGGUGGAGUAUGUGGCUUAAUUCGAUGCAACGCGAAGAACCUUACCUGGGCUUGACAUGCAUCUCUAAGUCGGUGAAAGCCGGCGACUCCCGCAAGGGAGAAUUUGCACAGGUGCUGCAUGGCUGUCGUCAGCUCGUGUCGUGAGAUGUUGGGUUAAGUCCCGCAACGAGCGCAACCCUGUGGCCUGUUGCCCCCGACCCGCGAGGGUCGAGCACUCUGGCCAGACUGCCCUGUGAAACGGGGAGGAAGGUGGGGAUGACGUCAAGUCAGCAUGGCCCUUACGCCCAGGGCUGCACACGUACUACAAUGCUCAGUACAGAAAGAACCGAGACCGCGAGGUGGAGGAAAUCACGAAAACUGAGCCCAAUUCGGAUCGCA
rnacentral:rRNA from 1 species